rnacentral:rRNA from 1 species
GACAGAGGGUGCAAACGUUGUUCGGAAUUACUGGGCGUAAAGCGUGUGUAGGCGGCCGCGCAAGUCGGAUGUGAAAGCCCCGGGCUCAACCCGGGAAGUGCACCCGAAACUGCGUGGUUCGAGUACCGGAGAGGUUGGUGGAAUUCUCGGUGUAGAGGUGAAAUUCGUAGAUAUCGAGAGGAACACCGGUGGCGAAGGCGGCCAACUGGACGAGUACUGACGCUGAGACACGAAAGCGUGGGGAGCAAACAGG